rnacentral:rRNA from 1 species
GAAACCGAUACCAGGGAGCUUGCUCUCUGCCUAAAGUGGCGCACGGGUGCGUAACGCAGUAUGCAACCUACCUUAAUCAGGGCGGGAUAGCCUCUCGAAAGAGAGAUUAACACCGCAUAAACGUCAAAGAAUGCAUCAUUCAAUGAUCAAUAGAUAUAUAGGAUUAAAGAUGGGCAUGCGUGUCAUUAGCUAGUUGGUGAGGUAACGGCUCACCAAGGCGACGAUGACUAAUGGAUCUGAGAGGAUGACCCGUCACACUGGUACUGAGACACGGACCAGACUCCUACGGGAGGCAGCAGUAAGGAAUAUUGGUCAAUGGAGGCAACUCUGAACCAGCCAUGCCGCGUGCAGGAAGACGGCCCUAUGGGUUGUAAACUGCUUGAUACGGCUAUAAACCUCUCGCUUCGUGAAGAGAGCUGAAUGUACUGUUAAGAAUAAGGAUCGGCUAACUCCGUGCCAGCAGCCGCGGUAAUACGGAGGAUCCAAGCGUUAUCCGGAUUUAUUGGGUUUACCGGUGCGUAGCCGGCUUAUUAAGUCAGGGGUGAAAGACGGUGGCUCAACCAUCGCAGUGCCUAUGAUACUGAUGAGCUUGAAUACACUUGAGGUAGGCGGAAUGUGACAAGUAGCGGUGAAAUGCAUAGAUAUGUCACACAACUUUUGCGAAGGCAGCUUACUAAGGUGCGCAAUUGACGCUGAGGCACGAAAGCGUGGGUGAUCAAACAGGAUUAGAUACCCUGGUAGUCCACGCCCUAAACGAUGAAUACUCGAUGUUAGCGAUAUACAGUUAGCGUCUAAGCGAACGCGGUAUUCCACCUGGAGAGUACGCUCGCAAGAGUGAAACUCAAAGGAAUUGACGGGUGCCCGCACAAGCGGAGGAGCAUGUGGUUUAAUUCGAUGAUACGCGAGGAACCAGACCCGGGCUUGAAAGUUACUGAAUGAUCUAGAGAUAGAUCAGUCCGCAAGGACAGGAAGCUAGGUGCUGCAUGGCUGUCGUCAGCUCGUGGGGUGAGGUGUUGGGACAAGUUCCCGCAACCGAGCUGCAACCUAUGUUGUAGUUGCCAGCAUGUAAUGGUGGGGACUCUUAAACAGACUUGCCUGUGCAAACACGAGAGGAAGGAGCCUAUCGACGUCAAGUCAUCAUGGCCCUUACGUCCGGCAGCGUACAUGAGUGCUACAAUGGGCAGUACAGAGGGCAGCUACCUGGUAACAGGAUGCCAAUCUCACGCAGCUGUUCACAGUUCGGAUUGAGGUCUGCAACUCGACCUCAUAUAGUUGGACUCGCUAGUAAUCGCAGAUCAGCAAUGCUGCGGUGAAUACGUUCCCGGGCCUUGUACACACCGCCCGUCAAGCCAUGAAAGUUGGGGGUACCUGAAGUAUGUUACCGCAAGGAGCGUCCUAGGGUACAGCCUGAUAA